CGGGCAGGCCGGGCAGCCGCCGGGGGCGAUCCGUCGCCCCGGGAGGAAAGUCCGGGCUCCACAGGGCGCGGCGCUGGGCAGUUCCCAGCGGGGGAAACCCCGGGCAAGCGCAACAGAAAGGAGACCGCCUGAAAAGGCAAGGGUGAAAGGGUGAGGUAAGAGCUCACCGGCCGCCCGGGCGACCGGGCGGGCCAGGCAAGCCCCGUCGGGAGCAAGACCAAGCAGGGGACCACAAGGCUGCCCGUCUUGUCCUCGGGUUGGUCGCUUGAGCGCAAGGGAAACCUUGCGCCUAGAUGAAUGGCUGCCGGCCCGGCCCCGCGAGGGGCCGGGCUUACAGAACCCGGCUUACAGGCCUACCCGGAUU
rnacentral:RNase_P_RNA from 1 species